UACGUAGGGUGCAAGCGUUGUCCGGAAUUAUUGGGCGUAAAGAGCUCGUAGGCGGCUUGUCGCGUCGUUCGUGAAAACCUGCGGCUCAACUGCAGGCUUGCGGUCGAUACGGGCAGGCUCGAGUUCGGUAGGGGAGACUGGAAUUCCUGGUGUAGCGGUGAAAUGCGCAGAUAUCAGGAGGAACACCGGUGGCGAAGGCGGGUCUCUGGGCCGAUACUGACGCUGAGGAGCGAAAGCGUGGGGAGCGAACAGGA
rnacentral:rRNA from 1 species